ACUGCAGGCUCGGCUCGGUGCAUAGUAACACCCAAAUAUAAAAUAUACCAUGCCAAGCUUAAGUAGGACUCGGUAUGAUCCAAUUCUUCAUGAAUUGAGUUUUUUGGGUUCUGGGAUUCUAUCAAUAAGCCAUUUGCCAAAUUCUUCAUGGCUGGAACAUUGACGUGCUUUUUUCGUUUUGAAUUAAUUAGUUAGUGGGGAAGUGUUGUAUUUUGUGGCAUGCAUUUUCUGACUUCAAGUUUCUGGUAUUGGGAAUGAAAGUGAAAUGAGGUGGUGUUCGGCACUGAUUGAGUGUUCAAAACUAAUGAAGGGAACAUACAUUUCUCUUCUCAAAAGCUGCAAAUCCAUGUCCCAAUUGAAGCAAAUUCAGGCCCACAUAUUCUGUGUUGGCCUUCAACAAGACAGAGACACCCUCAACAAGCUCAUGGCCUUUUCUAUGGACUCAUCACUAGGGGAUUUUAACUAUGCAAACAGAAUCUUCAACUACAUUCAUGACCCCUCUUUGUUUAUCUACAACCUCAUGAUCAAGGCCUUUGUGAAAAGCGGUAGUUUUAGGAGUGCCAUUUCUCUUUUUCAGCAGCUGAGGGAACAUGGUGUGUGGCCUGAUAACUACACCUACCCUUAUGUUUUGAAGGGUAUUGGUUGCAUUGGGGAGGUUAGGGAAGGGGAAAAGGUUCAUGCUUUUGUGGUUAAAACUGGCCUUGAGUUUGACCCUUAUGUGUGUAACUCCUUCAUGGAUAUGUAUGCUGAGUUGGGCCUGGUUGAGGGGUUCACCCAGGUGUUUGAGGAAAUGCCUGACAGGGAUGCAGUUUCUUGGAACAUCAUGAUUUCUGGUUAUGUCAGAUGCAAGAGGUUUGAGGAGGCUGUUGAUGUUUACCGGCGAAUGUGGACGGAGAGCAAUGAAAAGCCCAAUGAAGCCACGGUUGUGAGCACUCUGUCGGCUUGUGCAGUGUUGAGAAAUUUGGAGCUUGGCAAGGAAAUUCAUGAUUACAUUGCAAGUGAACUGGACCUUACUACUAUAAUGGGGAAUGCUUUGUUGGACAUGUAUUGUAAGUGUGGGCAUGUGAGCGUGGCCAGGGAGAUUUUUGAUGCAAUGACCGUGAAGAAUGUGAAUUGUUGGACCAGUAUGGUAACUGGGUAUGUGAUCUGUGGUCAGUUGGAUCAAGCUAGAAAUUUGUUUGAGAGGAGUCCAAGUAGGGAUAUUGUUCUUUGGACAGCUAUGAUUAAUGGGUAUGUGCAAUUUAAUCGUUUUGAAGAGACAAUUGCAUUAUUUGGGGAGAUGCAGAUCAGAGGUGUGAAACCAGAUAAGUUCAUUGUGGUUACUCUCCUUACAGGUUGUGCUCAAUCGGGAGCUCUGGAGCAGGGCAAGUGGAUUCAUAAUUACAUAGAUGAAAACAGAAUCAAGGUGGAUGCUGUGGUUGGUACUGCCCUUAUUGAAAUGUAUGCUAAAUGUGGUUGCAUAGAGAAAUCUUUCGAAAUUUUUAAUGGAUUGAAGGAAAAGGAUACUACCUCAUGGACUUCAAUUAUUUGUGGGCUGGCCAUGAAUGGUAAACCAAGUGAAGCACUUGAAUUGUUUAAAGCAAUGCAAACAUGUGGGUUAAAACCUGAUGAUAUUACUUUUGUUGCUGUUUUAAGUGCUUGUAGUCAUGCAGGAUUGGUUGAAGAAGGCCGCAAGUUAUUUCAUUCCAUGUCAAGUAUGUAUCACAUUGAGCCAAAUUUAGAGCACUAUGGGUGUUUCAUUGACCUUCUUGGUCGAGCCGGACUUUUACAAGAGGCAGAGGAGUUGGUGAAGAAGUUACCAGCUCAAAACAAUGAAAUAAUAGUUCCACUCUAUGGAGCUUUGCUGAGUGCCUGCAGAACUUAUGGCAACAUUGAUAUGGGUGAAAGGCUUGCUACAGCACUGGCAAAAGUUAAAUCCAGUGAUUCAAGUCUUCAUACACUUCUUGCUAGCAUUUAUGCUUCUGCUGACAGAUGGGAAGAUGUGAGAAAGGUGAGAAAUAAAAUGAAAGAUCUGGGAAUCAAAAAGGUGCCAGGAUAUAGUGCCAUUGAGGUGGAUGGCAAGUGGCAACAGAGGUUAAGUGAGGGCCCUUUCCCAUUUCCGGACAAAAAUUGGUCUUCCUGCAGGGGAUAGGUAAUCGACAGCUGAUUUUUAAUUUGAAUCAUCAAUUUUUAACUGGUAAAUGCAAUAUGGAAGUUUCACAAUUCAAAUGUUUUAUUUGGAUCAUGCAACUAUUCAAUUCCAUAAACUUUUCCUACAAUCCCUGAAUACACAAAGUCCCAUGUUUAUGGACUAUGGAUGAAAAUUAAUGGCUACUAUCUAUUGGGGUCGAUGGAGAACUCAAGUAAUGGCUGCUGUCCUACAGCCAAGAGAAUCUGAUAUUGUAAGCGAAAGUGCCAGAUUUGAACAUAGGCUCCUAUUGAUUUAUACUUCACUCUUCUUGCUUGGAGUAAGCUUAUCUCCAAAUGUUUGCUGUAUUCUCAGCAAAUACCAUCCUCAGUUCCACUUUGGCAUUAUAACACAGACCGUGUCUUCUCUAUUCAGAAUUUCAGAUUAUUUCAAUAGUGUCAGAGAUUAUAGGUAUUCUCCACAGAAGCUGGGUAAGAUCUCUAAAACGCUGAGAUGAACAAGGUUAAUGCUGAAGAUGAGAAACGCAGUCCACACCUUUGACAUCAGUAAAUGGAGGUACCUUCCAUAAUAUAUACAGUUUCUCAGGAUGAUGAAGCAGAGGAAACUCGUGAAAUUGAACCUCAACAAGAAAAUUCUGCAUCCGAACUUGCGAAGGUUUUCCUUGCUUCUGAUAAAGCAAACCCCGCUCAAUCCAGGAAUGUUAUCCAUGUCUCACCAUUCAAAUUCAGUUUCCUUCACAAGCAUGUAUGAUACAGAAGUUAGUUAAGCAUGCGUGUGGAGUCUGUGCUUCCCCCAGUUGUUCCUAGUUUACCUCUAUAAUUACAGAACCAACUAUACUUUUCACAUGAAACAUAUCUUUGCUAAACGCCAAUCCUCUAUCUAAAA